ensembl:lncRNA
ACAGACAAAUGAGUGUCAUACAGGUUUGAAAUGACAUGGGGACCUCCAAAACGGUCUAGAAUUGCCUGUUUUGUACUAAUCUGAAAUCUUCAGUAUCGCUGCUUAUUUUUAAAAGCAUGGUGGAAAGCCCCAUCUUGUGGUCAACAUUAGAUAUUACAGUGCUUGUGGCAAAGAAACAUUCAACCCCCAGUGAAGCAAAUAAAAUACAUCAAAACAAUUAUUUCGAGGACAAAUUUGAGGUUAGACCUCUAAUUCAGGUCUAUUUUUUAAUCAGAAUUCAACCGCCAACUUACAUUAGGGAGACAAUGUUAUGAAUACAAAUGAUUUUUCAAAGAAAUGCAUUCUUUAAAAUAAUAAAAAACAAACAUUUGGAAAAAAAAGUGCAUACACAAAACAUACAAAUAAAUUAACAAAAAGCAUUUGACACAGUCUCAUGCAACCAAACAUUUACAUGGUUUUCGCUUUUUCUAACUAAAUAUCAUUUUCCUCUUUUGGGUGACCUUAACUUAUGGUCAUACAUUAAAAUGACAGCCCAGUUAUAAUCCCACCAAAGCAGGUACCAGUUCAUGAACAAUACAUGAAAACUGCUCUGGGUCGUGAGAAAUCAUUCAAGUCCAGUGUGUAAACCACGCACGCAUAUUAUACCAUGAGACUGAUACAGCUUCAAUAUAAUGAUAAGAUCAUCUGUCCUAUCCAAACACUUGAUAAGACCAUGUCAUAUUAGCCAUUGAGCCACUGAAAGCAUCCCAUAUGCAAUAAGACUAAGAGAGGGUAAUUGCAUCUGGCAGAAAGAUAUUCUCUGAAUUCACGGUCCAAGAACUUCACAUCCUAAAACAUGGAAUGACGUGAAAGUGUGACAAAGUGAAUGUAGUGUUCAGUGUUUCAGCAUUGCAAGCGAUGCAGGAAUUGUGUGCACUGAUUGAAUGCUGACGGUAAAGUUACAUAGCUGAUAUAAGAUACAACAUUCCCUACAUACUACAUAUGAAAGCAUGACCAGACCACAUCACGCCAGCGAAAUGUGAAAAACCAAAACAGGCUGUGACUAUAAAAAUAUAAAAACUAAAUUCAUCACAUGGAAACAGGGAGGUCUUACCCUAAAGAACAGCUUAUGAAUUAAAAUAAUAGUUUUAAUAAAAAGAUAGUUUAUAAAAGGAAAAUAGCAUGAAAAUACAAUGCCAAUUGCUCAUUUUGGAAUACAUAUGAUUAAAGCUAAUAAUUUAUGUUUUCAUAUUACAAUGUUCAAAAAAAUUUAAGUUGGAAAAGUGUGCAAAAAAAGCAAUAAAAUGCAAACAAUUCGUGCUCCGUUUUCUUUCAAAUAAAACAAAAAAUAAAUUCAGACAUUAACAACAAGACUCUUGUUUAGCAACAGUCACUUGCAUAGUUAAGUGCAUGCAUUAAUAUUAUCAUGCAACACUGCUUUUUUACAAAUACUUUUUCAGUGCACACACAAUAUGGGUCUGUCGCAAACAAACAAACAAACAAACAAACAAACAAACAAAAAGUAGUGUGCUACACAUUAGGUUCAUUGCUAAAGUAUCUAUUUUAAGAUAAAGUGUGCUGAAAAAGAGGGUUUUCUCAGACCGAAAAGCAGCAUGAAAAUGAGAACGGUUCAACAGUGGCAUCAGCGGCGUUUGGAUUAACGUUUUAAUUACAGGGCAGCAAACUGAACAGCGGCCAACAUAAUGACACUGUUAUGCAAAUGUAACAAUAAUGACUUGCUUAACCCUACACUUCUCCUGUCGUACAUAACAUUUUGACUCAGUCCAAAUGAACUUGUCUAAGCGAAAUCGAGAAUGAAUGAAAAUAUAUUUAGGUGAACUCCAUGGCGUUGACAAGCAUGCAAAACAAACAAAGGCCUUUCUGCAGAACAAUUUCAAUUGGAUAUUAAAUCAAAAACUCUUAGCCAAAAAAAAAAA